CCCUUAGAUGUUCUGGGCCGCACGCGUGCUACACUGAUGUGUCCAGUAAGCACCUAACCUCUUCCGAAAGGAACGGGUAACCUUUGCAAAGCACAUCGUGAUGGGGAUAGAUUAUUGCAAUUAUUAGUCUUGAACGAGGAAUUCCUAGUAAGCACAAGUCAUCAGCUUGUGUUGAUUACGUCCCUGCCCUUUGUACACACCGCCCGUCGCUCCUACCGAUUGAAUGUUCCGGUGAGCUCUUCGGACUGCGCGGUCUGCAGUUUCUGCGUUCCGUGCGGAAAGUUGUGCAAACCUUAACAUUUAGAGGAAGGAGAAGUCGUAACA
rnacentral:rRNA from 1 species